rnacentral:rRNA from 1 species
AUGAAGGAAAACCUCAAGAAAGAUGAGGAGAAGCUCGGAUGGUUUGAUCUCUGGAUGGGGGUUCUAUUCUCCAACGUGCUCGACAAAAUGCAUGUGGCACUCUUCAUCGCAUUUCCUAAGGUGACGCCUGGCAACACGGACAACGCAAAAUUGUCUUUGUGGCCGGUUUGGAAUGUUGCAUACAGUAAUGGUAUGAUCAAGUUUGUUGAGAUAGAAAAAUAUGAAAUACCAUAUGUUGAUGAAAGGUUGUAUGAUGACAUGGAUACACUCUAUGAGUCAGACUGCUUGACGAACCCCAAAGAAAUUGGUUGGAGGGCCGAGACAUGGUACAUAAUGACUCCUUGGGACCAUCGGAGCAACAGAUUCAUGGCUUAUGACGAGGAAAUACCGGUUGACUACCCAAGUCAUUCUAAGUUGUUGCCUGACCUGACUCCGAGUGACACCUAUGCAAGAGAGUUGACAUUGAAGGACCUCCAGCAUCUCACCCUGCCUGAUCUUGACCUAUGA